rnacentral:rRNA from 1 species
AUUGAACGCUGGCGGCAUGCUCUACACAUGCAAGUCGAACGGUAACAGGCCGCAAGGUGCUGACGAGUGGCGAACGGGUGAGUAAUGCAUCGGAACGUGCCCAGUCGUGGGGGAUAACUACUCGAAGGAGUAGCUAAUACCGCAUACGAUCUAUGGAUGAAAGCGGGGGACCGUAAGGCCUCGCGCGAUUGGAGCGGCCGAUGUCAGAUUAGGUAGUUGGUGGGGUAAAGGCUCACCAAGCCAACGAUCUGUAGCUGGUCUGAGAGGACGACCAGCCACACUGGGACUGAGACACGGCCCAGACUCCUACGGGAGGCAGCAGUGGGGAAUUUUGGACAAUGGGCGCAAGCCUGAUCCAGCAAUGCCGCGUGCAGGAAGAAGGCCUUCGGGUUGUAAACUGCUUUUGUACGGAACGAAACGGCUCUGGUUAAUACCCGGGGCUAAUGACGGUACCGUAAGAAUAAGCACCGGCUAACUACGUG